UUUCAGUUGCAUCUUUUCAACAAAUUUGACUCUCUCCCUACAAAGGAAAGUUUGUAUCAGCUACUGAGAAGACUUGGACUGGAACUUACUUCACCAGAUCUCAUGGUUCUUGGGCCUUCAGACUCAGGUUGGAACUAUGCUAUCAGCUUUCCUGGAUCUCCAGCUUGCUGACUACACAAUCUAGGACUUCUCAGCCUUUGUAAUUGUGAGGAACAAAUUGUUCUACAGAAAAUGAAGGAAACUCCAAAUGUUCAAGAGACUGGGGAUGAUAUAUGAAAGCUUUCACCAUUAGCUCCUGCACAUACUUAUAUACUGAAUAGGACCAUGAAAAAGUGCUUAAGCUCAAACAGGAAUACUUCUACGAUUAUGUGAAGAAGCCUGGGCUAGCCUGCUGAAGGAUGAAAGACCAUGUAGAAAGCAGCCUCAGCUAUUCCAGUCCUGGAAUGAACACACGAAAAGCAGAGCUGUCCCCACUGCAUAAAAUAGGCUCUUCAUAUUGACCUGCAUAACCGUGAGUGAUAAAAAUUAUUAUUUGAAGUCAGUGAGGUUUGAGUUGGUUUGUUAUGCAGCAUUAUUGUGCAAUUGUCAACUGAAACAGAAACCUGGAGAUACACGAAUUAAAAACUUGGUAACCCUCUCAACCCAGAUGUUUUAAUAUACUAAAUAACUAUGUAUAAUCAGUAGGUUGGUUAAAUAUUGGUAAGUGGAAUGGAGAAAAAGUAAACGGGGUAGAGGAAUGGGGAGGAGUGUUUUGUAGCAGGUCAGUGUCCCUGAAAAGCAAACACUGAGAAAAAGAUUAGCAGGAAGGGUCAUUGUUCCUUUCAUCAUGGCAAUAGUGGCAGAUAUACUUUAAAAUAUAAUUAUACAGGCCGGGUGCAGUGGCUCACACCUGUAAUCCCAGCC